rnacentral:rRNA from 1 species
UACGUAGGGCGCAAGCGUUAUCCGGAAUUAUUGGGCGUAAAGCGCACGUAGGCGGCGCUGCAAGUCGGAUGUGAAAUCCCUCGGCUUAACCAAGGAAGUGCAUCCGAAACUGCAGUGCUUGAGUACUUAAGAGGAUCGCGGAAUUCCCGGUGUAGAGGUGAAAUUCGUAGAUAUCGGGAGGAACACCAGUGGCGAAGGCGGCGAUCUGGGAAGAUACUGACGCUGAGGUGCGAAAGCGUGGGGAGCAA